rnacentral:rRNA from 1 species
GAACUGGAGAGUUUGAUCCUGGCUCAGAACGAACGCUGGCGGCGUGCUUAAGACAUGCAAGUCGAACGAGAAAGUCACUUCGGUGAUGAGUACAGUGGCGCACGGGUGAGUAACACGUGGGUAAUCUGCCCUCAGGUCUGGAAUAACUCCGGGAAACUGGUGCUAAUACCGGAUGAGACCACGACGUCUCCGGACGACGUGGAAAAAGAUGGCCUCUCCUUGGAAGCUAUCGCCUGGGGAUGAGCCCGCGUCCCAUUAGCUAGUUGGUGGGGUAAUGGCCUACCAAGGCUCCGAUGGGUAGCUGGUCUGAGAGGAUGAUCAGCCACACUGGGACUGAGACACGGCCCAGACUCCUACGGGAGGCAGCAGUCGGGAAUUUUGUCCAAUGGGCGCAAGCCUGAGACAGCAACGCCGCGUGAGGGAUGAAGGCCUUCGGGUCGUAAACCUCUGUCAGGAGGGAAGAAAGCUCCAUUGCGAAUAGCUUUGGAGUCUGACGGUACCUCCAAAGGAAGCGCCGGCUAACUCCGUGCCAGCAGCCGC